ensembl:lncRNA
AUUUCAACAAAGUUCUUAUAGAGAAUGAAGAACAUGCCGUCUUCCUUAAAUGGAGGCAUAAGCCAGAUGACAGUAUGACGUUACAUCAAUGUGAUUUUAGUAAUGACGAACCAGCUUGUACUUUACACUUUACAGAGGACUUUAACAAACUGACAUUACUUGAGAGGAGAAGUAAUCGCUAAACUUAAAUCCUACCAGUGGAGUUGCGUGGCGGGUCUCUGGCCUUGCGGGGAGGACUGAAAUGCGAUGCACCUGGAAAACCAGCAGCUGUAGCAGCAGCAGCAGCAGCAGCAGCAGGACCCGGGGUGCUUUUGAUAGGUUGAGCUACUGCAGAGUAAAGAGAAGCACAAAACAUAAAAUUGGAGAGUGAUGCCGACAUCGUGAAGUGGCAGGUGGCACGUUCCGAUCUCAGAACGGCACGAACCGCAGUCAGGACUGGCAUCCACCCUGGCGUGGACGCGCCUUCGCAUUCAUAUGCAAAUCCCC